UCGCCUGUUUAUCAAAAACAUCGCCUCUUGUCAAAUAUAAGAGGUCCUGCCUGCCCAGUGAUAAAUUCAACGGCCGCGGUACCCUAACCGUGCAAAGGUAGCAUAAUCACUUGUUCUUUAAAUAAGGACUCGUAUCAACGGCAUCACGAGGGUUGCACUGUCUCCCCCCUCCAAUCAGUGAAACUGAUCUCCCCAUGAAAAAGUGGGGAUAAUACUAUAAGACGAGAAGACCCCAUGGAGCUUUAAACCCAAUAGCAACUUAGCGAACUAUAGCUACAAAAACAUGCUAGCGGUUUUAGGUUGGGGUGACCACGGAGCAUAAACUAACCUCCAUAACGAAAAGACUUAAAUCUUUACCCAAGAACCACCACUCUAAGAAUUAGAAAACUAACGGACUAUGACCCGAUAUCGAUCAAUGAACCAAGUUACCCUGGGGAUAACAGCGCAAUCUGCUUCGAGAGCCCAUAUCGACAAGUAGGCUUACGACCUCGAUGUUGGAUCAGGGUAUCCCAGUGGUGCAGCCGCUACUGA
rnacentral:rRNA from 1 species